rfam:Bacillus solimangrovi strain GH2-4 NODE_8_length_133311_cov_1.65123_ID_5745, whole genome shotgun sequence.
AUCCCCUUUAAUCAAGUCCUGUGAGGCUUGCAAGGGAACGAUUGUGAGUGUAAUAGUAUGUGUGGUUUAAGCCACACAUCUAUACUCAUGCCGUCAACCUCUUUGCAAGCAUCUCCGAGCAAAGAGGUUUUUUAUU